AGUUUGAUCCUGGCUCAGGAUGAACGCUAGCUACAGGCUUAACACAUGCAAGUCGAGGGGAAACGAUAGAGAAAGCUUGCUUUUUCUAGGCGUCGACCGGCGCACGGGUGAGUAACGCGUAUCCAACCUGCCCAUCACUUGGGGAUAACCUUGCGAAAGUAAGACUAAUACCCAAUGAUAUCUCUAGAAGACAUCUGAAAGAGAUUAAAGAUUUAUCGGUGAUGGAUGGGGAUGCGUCUGAUUAGCUUGUUGGCGGGGUAACGGCCCACCAAGGCGACGAUCAGUAGGGGUUCUGAGAGGAAGGUCCCCCACAUUGGAACUGAGACACGGUCCAAACUCCUACGGGAGGCAGCAGUGAGGAAUAUUGGUCAAUGGGCGAGAGCCUGAACCAGCCAAGUAGCGUGCAGGAUGACGGCCCUAUGGGUUGUAAACUGCUUUUAUAAGGGAAUAAAGUGAGAGUCGUGACUCUUUUUGCAUGUACCUUAUGAAUAAGGACCGGCUAAUUCCGUGCCAGCAGCCGCGGUAAUACGGAAGGUCCGGGCGUUAUCCGGAUUUAUUGGGUUUAAAGGGAGCGUAGGCCGGAGAUUAAGCGUGUUGUGAAAUGUAGACGCUCAACGUCUGCACUGCAGCGCGAACUGGUUUCCUUGAGUACGCACAAAGUGGGCGGAAUUCGUGGUGUAGCGGUGAAAUGCUUAGAUAUCACGAAGAACUCCGAUUGCGAAGGCAGCUCACUGGAGCGCAACUGACGCUGAAGCUCGAAAGUGCGGGUAUCGAACAGGAUUAGAUACCCUGGUAGUCCGCACGGUAAACGAUGGAUGCCCGCUGUUGGUCUGAAUAGGUCAGCGGCCAAGCGAAAGCAUUAAGCAUCCCACCUGGGGAGUACGCCGGCAACGGUGAAACUCAAAGGAAUUGACGGAAGGGCGU
rnacentral:rRNA from 1 species